GUGACUAAUACCGCAUAAUAUUCUUGGAAGGCAUCUUCCGAGAAGGAAAGGAAAUAUUCGGUAAAAGAUGGGCCCGCAUCUGAUUAGCUAGUUGGUGAGAUAACAGCCCACCAAGGCGACGAUCAGUAGCCGACCUGAGAGGGUGACCGGCCACAUUGGGACUGAGACACGGCCCAAACUCCUACGGGAGGCAGCAGUGGGGAAUAUUGCACAAUGGGGGGAACCCUGAUGCAGCAACGCCGCGUGAAGGAAGACGGUUUUCGGAUUGUAAACUUCUAUCAAUAGGGAAGAAAGAAAUGACGGUACCUAAAUAAGAAGCCCCGGCUAACUACGUGCCAGCAGCCGCGGUAAUACGUAGGGGGCAAGCGUUAUCCGGAAUUACUGGGUGUAAAGGGAGAGUAGGCGGCAAGGUAAGCGAUAUGUGAAAGCCUUAGGCUUAACCUGAGGAUUGCAUAACGAACUAUCUAGCUAGAGUACAGGAGAGGAAAGCGGAAUUCCUAGUGUAGCGGUGAAAUGCGUAGAUAUUAGGAAGAACAUCAGUGGCGAAGGCGGCUUUCUGGACUGAAACUGACGCUGAGGCUCGAAAGCGUGGGGAGCGAACAGGAUUAGAUACCCUGGUAGUCCACGCUGUAAACGA
rnacentral:rRNA from 1 species